rnacentral:rRNA from 1 species
GCAGCCGAGCGGUAGAGUCUCUUCGGRGACUUGAGAGCGGCGCACGGGUGCGGAACACGUGUGCAACCUGCCUUUAUCUGGGGGAUAGCCUUUCGAAAGGAAGAUUAAUACCCCAUAAUAUACUGGAUGGCAUCAUCUGGUAUUGAAAACUCCGGUGGAUAGAGAUGGGCACGCGCAAGAUUAGAUAGUUGGUGAGGUAACGGCUCACCAAGUCAGCGAUCUUUAGGGGGCCUGAGAGGGUGAUCCCCCACACUGGUACUGAGACACGGACCAGACUCCUACGGGAGGCAGCAGUGAGGAAUAUUGGACAAUGGGUGAGAGCCUGAUCCAGCCAUCCCGCGUGAAGGACGACGGCCCUAUGGGUUGUAAACUUCUUUUGUAUAGGGAUAAACCUAGAUACGUGUAUCUAGCUGAAGGUACUAUACGAAUAAGCACCGGCUAACUCCGUGCCAGCAGCCGCGGUAAUACGGAGGGUGCAAGCGUUAUCCGGAUUUAUUGGGUUUAAAGGGUCCGUAGGCUGAUGUGUAAGUCAGUGGUGAAAUCUCACAGCUUAACUGUGAAACUGCCAUUGAUACUGCAUGUCUUGAGUGUUGUUGAAGUAGCUGGAAUAAGUAGUGUAGCGGUGAAAUGCAUAGAUAUUACUUAGAACACCAAUUGCGAAGGCAGGUUACUAAGCAACAACUGACGCUGAUGGACGAAAGCGUGGGGAGCGAACAGGAUUAGAUACCCUGGUAGUCCACGCCGUAAACGAUGCUAACUCGUUUUUGGGUCGUCAGCUUCAGAGACUAAGCGAAAGUGAUAAGUUAGCCACCUGGGGAGUACGAACGCAAGUUUGAAACUCAAAGGAAUUGACGGGGGCCCGCACAAGCGGUGGAUUAUGUGGUUUAAUUCGAUGAUACGCGAGGAACCUUACCAAGGCUUAAAUGGGAAAUGACAGGUUUAGAAAUAGACUUUUCUUCGGACAUUUUUCAAGGUGCUGCAUGGUUGUCGUCAGCUCGUGCCGUGAGGUGUUAGGUUAAGUCCUGCAACGAGCGCAACCCCUGUCACUAGUUGCCAUCAUUAAGUUGGGGACUCUAGUGAGACUGCCUACGCAAGUAGAGAGGAAGGUGGGGAUGACGUCAAAUCAUCACGGCCCUUACGCCUUGGGCCACACACGUAAUACAAUGGCCGGUACAGAGGGCAGCUACACAGCGAUGUGAUGCAAAUCUCGAAAGCCGGUCUCAGUUCGGAUUGGAGUCUGCAACUCGACUCUAUGAAGCUGGAAUCGCUAGUAAUCGCGCAUCAGCCAUGGCGCGGUGAAUACGUUCCCGGGCCUUGUACACACCGCCCGUCAAGCCAUGGAAGUCUGGGGUACCUGAAGUCGGUGACCGUAACAGGAGCUG